AGAAAUCUAGGGUUAGCAUCAAGGUUCACUCUGUGUUGUCCAGCCUAUGGGUUUUGACAAACUGACAAUGUCUUUUGUCACCCUGACGGAAUAAUUUCACAUCCUAAACAUGACCUGAGCUGCAUCUACUAAUUCCUCUCCUUUUCUGAGGAUUCCUGACAACUAUGGAUGAUUUUACUGCCUCUAUAGGUUUCCUUUUCCAGAAUUUUAUAGAGUUGGAAUCAUAGAAUUACGAUGAGGACCUGGUGCAGGAAGCUUCAUCUGAAGAUGUCCUGGGCGUUCAUAUGGUGGACAAAGACACAGAGAGAGACA
rnacentral:sRNA from 1 species